AUUGAACGCUGGCGGCAUGCCUUACACAUGCAAGUCGAACGGCAGCGCGGGGCAACCUGGCGGCGAGUGGCGAACGGGUGAGUAAUAUAUCGGAACGUGCCCUGGAGUGGGGAUAACGUAGCGAAAGUUACGCUAAUACCGCAUACGAUCCAAGGAUGAAAGCAGGGGACCUUCGGGCCUUGUGCUCCUGGAGCGGCCGAUAUCUGAUUAGCUAGUUGGUGGGGUAAAAGCCUACCAAGGCGACGAUCAGUAGCUGGUCUGAGAGGACGACCAGCCACACUGGAACUGAGACACGGUCCAGACUCCUACGGGAGGCAGCAGUGGGGAAUUUUGGACAAUGGGGGGCAACCCUGAUCCAGCAAUGCCGCGUGUGUGAAGAAGGCC
rnacentral:rRNA from 1 species